GACGAACGCUGGCGGCGUGCUUAACACAUGCAAGUCGAACGGAAAGGCCCCUUUGGGGGUACUCGAGUGGCGAACGGGUGAGUAACACGUGAGUAACCUGCCCUUGACUUCGGGAUAACUUCAGGAAACUGGGGCUAAUACCGGAUAGGAAUCCUUGCUGCAUGGUGGGGGUUGGAAAGCUUCGGCGGUUUUGGAUGGACUCGCGGCUUAUCAGCUUGUUGGUGGGGUAGUGGCUUACCAAGGCUUUGACGGGUAGCCGGCCUGAGAGGGCGACCGGCCACAUUGGGACUGAGGUAAGGCCCAGACUCCUACGGGAGGCAGCAGUGGGGAAUAUUGCACAAUGGGCGGAAGCCUGAUGCAGCAACGCCGCGUGCGGGAUGACGGCCUUCGGGUUGUAAACCGCUUUCAGCAGGGGAGAAGCUUGUGGUGACGGUACCUGCAGAAGAAGCACCGGCUAACUACGUG
rnacentral:rRNA from 1 species